GCUCCUGUGGAUUAGUGGUUAUAGUGUCUGCCUCGGAUGCGGGAGGUCGUCGGUUCGAACCCCGGCCGAGUCA